UCCUGUUGCUAAGCGAUAGCACAGCUCUCUCGUAUAGCCUCUCAUCUACUAGACACAGCAGACAACACACAGCCACACACACUCAGUCAUACAGUCUCACCAAAGACGGGCAUUUGGCUGUCCGUCCACCCCAACCAUGAUGACAAGCCAGGAUGGAUUCUCCAGAACGGAAGACGACCUACUACAACCUCCCGAUCAAACUCGUGGGUCAACUUGGAACAGACAGAGACAGAGCUCCCCUGCCUGUAAACUGGGGAUGACCAGGAAAGAGAAGGACACGAGGGUAGGUCCAGCUCCUUUUUUCUCCACAUAGGGACACGGGUGGUUAAACGAGCUAAAGCCUUGUGCUGCAAUGAAUAUCAUACUCAAUGAUGUUGUGUCUUGAUUGUAUUUGCCAUUAUCAAAUAAACUAUUAAGUAAGUUUGUACACCAUCACUUUAUGAACUCUGACUUCAGCAUUUCCUGAAUACAGCGCA
rnacentral:lncRNA from 1 species